GUUCCUGGCAACAACACACCAGGGGAAUUCAAUCAACCAAUUACAGGCUAUGUUGGGCUCACCAAAAAACGAACAUCUGAAGUUCGACCCUAUGGGACUAACUCUCGAGGAGGUCCUUGAUUAAAGGGAUGUCCCCUCGGUUAUUUUACGGUUGAGAACAAGUCAAAUCGCGAUGUUUAUGUAAAUACUAACAUUGAGCGUUGAGUUGGUGCAUUUUCUUCACCAGCUGGUGAGCACUCAGUGCACUUGUCAAUAUUACGCAUUAACCAUGACCCAGCAGAGAACCAGCCUCCUUUUGUAGACUGACAGGCGACGACUCCUUUUACGUCAAGCAUAAUGAUUAGCGUCAUUGACGUCGUAGGAGUGGCCUGUCAAUCAUCUUUGCUCUACUCUGAGGGUUUUUUAUCAGUAUGAUCUUAUUUUUUUGCCAGUGCGUUUCCGGUUAAAUAAGAGCAAACACAUUGACGGAGAUUAUGACUUUUAUUUGAACGACUGAAGGGAACAAUGAGUUUGGGUCGUCAAUUGUUUUAUUUCAUGUUUGGCAUGGCUAUUAUCUACUUUCCACAAACUCGAGGGGACUGUUCAUUGGAGCAUCAACCUUCCAGUUAUGAACUCUCUGCGACAAAUCAGGAUGGACUCAAUUUCGAGUGCUUUGGUAAAAACGUUCAAAGGGGAAAAAAAAUUGAAUGGUAUUGCUCGUUUACAUCUAUGAACGAUUCAUCAGAAAACUCAUAUGUUGGAACAUAUGUCAGCAUACAAGAAAAGAGAACAAAAUGGUAUCAGCACAACAACUCUGCAAAGCCGAUGACUCUCAAAGAUGCAUCGAUAUAUAAAAACAAAACAUGACCGUUCAUGUUUUUGAUAAGGACAACUGUACAAAAGCGUCGUUUAGAGGUGUUCCGAAACAACUGAUUCGUUGUGAUCCACCAGCGAAUGUAAGCUUUCUUCGACUUUCGAGAAGACUCAUGGUGAAUAUGACGUGGAGGCCGGAGGACGAGGGAUAUAUCAAAAAAUAUGAUCUGAGAUACAGAGUGCUCAACAGUGUGUUUUGGAACGAGUCCCAGUCCACCGAAAGGAACAAGGGUUCAGUGGAGCACCUCGACCCCUCGCUCUCCUACGAGGUGGAGAUACGGUGCAGCCCAAUCGACUUCUGCCCAAAGUGCUCCUGGAGUCCCCCCUACCUCUUCCCACCAGAACUAACCGUCCCGCCGGUGAUUCUGAACGUGGAAGACAGCGAUUUUGCAGGACAAAAUGGCCACCGUCUUCUCCUUAUAAGUUGGAAUUAUCCCUCCAGAGAGCUGGUGAAAGGCUACAGCGUGAAGGUGGAGAAGGCCUCUGGAGAGGGUCCCAGCGAUCGUAUCCCCACGGACCAAAUGGAGUUGAGGCUGAUUGUGUCUUACUCCGCCUACCAGCUGCAGAUCACCGCCUCUAACAACUUCAGCACAUCCCCCGCAGCCCACCGGACCGUACCUGCACGCAGAUACAGGGACGGUGCAGGCGGGAGGCUGAACGUCACGUUCCACAGUAACAUGUCCCUCUCUCUGUCCUGGAGCGACUCGGUGGCUCUGAAACCAAUCGUCUGCUACUCCGUCGAACUGAGUGGGCAUAAAAACAGUAUUACGUGUUUUACCUAAACAACGCAUCCCACCAAUUGAUAAGUUUAAAGGAGCCGUUGGAGCCCUAUCAGAUGUAUGACAUCACGCUGCACAUCAGGCCUAACAAAAAUACCUGCAACAUCAAGCGGAUCAACAACAGUGAGAGCACCUACGGGAGCCUGCAGGCCUACUUCAGAGAGGGAACUCCUGUCAGCGCUCCGACCAACAUCUCCAGGUCCAACGUGACCCUGACCUCCAUGGUCCUUACCUGGAGGCCCGUCCCAGUGGAGGACCUCAAGGGACACCUCCUUGGGUACACCCUCCACUACAAGGAGACUGGUCCACAAAACACGAGCACACCCAGAAACACAACGGUGGAUCCCACAGUAGUCUCACAGGAGCUGGUGGGUCUUGAAAGUGGUACAGUGUACACGGUUCAAAUAGCAGCAUUCACCUCCGCAGGAGCGGGGGUGAAAAGCAGUGCAAGCUACUUUGGUACCAGUUCUCAAGGCCUCCCUUUUCUUCAUAAAGCCGUCAAGAACUCCCUGAUAACGUGUUCUGUGUUGAUAGGCAUCAUCCUGUUCGGCUCGCGACUGUUAAAAAGGGCAAAGCGGUCGUUUUGGCCAAAUGUACCAAAUCCAGGUACCAGCAGUGCGAUCCAGAGAAUGGUUAAGUCCUAUGAGCUGGAGCCCCUGAAGCUGACCAUCCUCCGGGAGGAAUGUGACACGUGUACCCUCCACCUGCCCCCCCCGGACCCGCCGCUGGGCCUUCAGUACACCGGGCUCCAGGGCAGCGGACAGCCACUCGGGACCCCCCCCAGCUGUGAGGAACCGCCGCGACGAGACGCCAGCGACGACUCGACCGGCGACACAUUACCCAACGACGAGAGAACCACGACCCCGGACGCGCUCCAGAGCGAUCCGGAGAGCGCUCCCGGUAAGGGGCCCAGCGACUACACCACCAUGGAGCUGUUUCAGCAGGGCAUGCCUCCACCGCCCCCCAGCCUGUAGGACCGAAGGCCACGCAGGCCUUCACGGAGAGGAGAUGAACAAGACUGUACAUGGGAACGGAUCGGGCUACUCCCGGCAAUCUAGCCAGGGUCCAAUGGAGAUCGGCGCUCUGUAGACUGGAUCGAUUGUUCUAGUGUUCUGAACAUGUGAAAAUGAGCCUCCCGCUCACUUCCACUUAGGGUUGUAGCUGUUAGGACGCAAUGAAGAUCUUGAGUACACCGCAAAAAUUCAGCCAGCAGCAUAAAUUAGGUGAAAAACUGAUUCAUUUUUUUUCACGCUUAAAAAAGUGAAAUGGCAAAGCCAAACACAAUACUUUGAUAAACAAAACCAAAAAUCAACCAGAGGGUUGCUCACUUGCAAAGUUCCAUUAACAUGAGAAUCACCGAACAUGAUCCAGCCUCACAGCAAGCCGUCUCUCUAUGCCUCCACCAACCCCCUUGAAAGCAAAAAAAUACCGGGCUUAAAUAAAGCCAACCAAUUAACUAAAUUGGUAGACACCAAAUACCAUGGGGGUUCACCGACUCAAGUACCAUAAUACAUCUUAUAUUUUAUAAUUAAAUCAUAUUCGACCACACACUUCAUUACACAUCUUAACAGUUCGAAUGUUGAUGAGGUUCACUGUUGCAAAAUACCGUAAUAAUUAAACAUAACAAAUAACGUCUCCCCCCUGACAAACAGUCAGGUUCCUGCAUCCCAAUCAGGCAGUGAUUGCAUUUCCAGGUGCCGUGUUGCCCGGGGUUCAAAAUGUUUGGGGACCCAGGAAGUGGGUGUGGCUGUCAGUGUCUGUCUGUGUCAUGCAAAAUGUAUGGGUUAACGGCAGAGAAUGGAUUAUGGGUUAUGGGUUAAGGAUCAAUGUCUCAUGACGAGACGCGGUUGCCGGCACCGUGCGUCAUACUCAGCAUAAACAUGUGUGAAUGCGGGUGUGCGUGUUGAUCAGUUUACGUGUUGCGGGUAGUGUCAUAUGUACGUGAAAAGGAGGGGCUACCUUUUCACAACCACGUACAAAUGGGUAAAGUCGUUGCUGAGAUCUAGCAUAGUAGGGUGACAAUGGGAGCACUGGGGAUUUGACCUUUUCUAUCGUUCAAAUAAACAUAGGCCAAUCAUCUGCAAAGAGCAUGACUUUCACACCAAUACAUGUGCAACCUGGCAGCUAAUGGCACAGAUAGGAGGACCACAAACUGAAAAGGCCAAAUUCGCUUAGGAAGGAGACUGAAUGUCUGGAAGGAUUGAGCGUGUGGAUGGGUAUAAUACCUUAAGACGCUAAAAAUAAAGUAGACACUUCAAUAAUGGUAGAAGUGGUACCAGCAUACAGAAGAGCUUGAGCACAUUCGUUUCCUUAAGAUAUCAGCCAGGGGAUGUGGCGAGGAGCCGCUGUGAUGUACAGCAGAUUAUCUGAAUGAAAAAGCCUGUGGGUUUUCUAUUUUUAUUGGGGGGGGGGGGGACAUUUGAACAAGACACGACCAGGGAGGUUCAACAGCAUACAUCCAAGCUUUUCAUAAACAUAAAAAACCACCCCGCUUGAAUCAGGAAGUGUAAUUCUUCAUUUUAGGAAUUAGCCAAGAUUGUUUUUAAAUACUUGAAUACAACAUUCUAAAAAAAUACAAUUUGUAUUAUGUUCAUUUGUUUUGUCUUUCAGAUAUCUUACACCAAACAUUUGUCUGUUUGGCAAACCUCUGGUAUGUUACCAACGUUUAGAUGUUUCAUUCCUUAAAUUGUUUUUUAACCGACAUCAAGCUUUGAACUUUUUUGUUAGACAAUAGCAGAUACCUUUCACUGUUAAAUUUCUCAACACUGGAUUUAUUCACACAAAUAAUCCGCACUAGCACAAACAUUUGAACCUGCAAAAAACACAAAUAUUCACCAUCAGCUAUACUUUUUUUUAUGUCGAAGACAAUUUUACUCACAAAUGUAUUGUAACUUCAACACCUAAUUAACAAAUCUUAGUUUGCCAAAAUAAAUUGAGGUUGGACUUUUAGGGAAUUAUUCAGUGUUUUGUACAAUCUUAGUCUAGGCACUUUUCAGUUGUCUGUGCUUGCAAUACGUUUUUUCAAAUUUUACUUCAGCCAAUGUUUGACCCAAUGCCCAUAGCACUGGUUUUAAUGUACAAUGUGCCAAGUGAUAUUUUAAUGCCGCCUAUGUCAACCAAUUUACGUGUGGAAAAUUAUAGAAAUGUGUACAUAAAAUUUAGUUUCACACUUCUACCUCCUGCGAUGCACAUUUCCAAAAUACAAAUAUAGCACCAAAGUAAACAGCAACAAAAUAGGAAAAGUCAAAUAUAUAUGUAAUAUAUGUUUUACUAGGGAGUGAAAAAUACAUUUGACCACAUAUAUAACAACAUACAUAAGAAUGUUCUUUAUCGGAUGUUGUGGAGCUUUAAGAAACAAACCAAAUUGGCAAAAUAAGUCAUACAUUUCUUCUGAUUGCUUGUAAUUACAGUAAUAUAUAUCAACCCGUUUGUUGCAUCACAAAAAGGUGAGCGACACAAAAAUAAAGGGCAUACUGUACAGAUCCUGUGGCUGUGAUAGACUGCACGAGGCAUGUGAUGAAUGUAUCCUCCAAACAACAGACAGGGCUAUUUCCCCCGGGCACCAUAAAAAGCAUCUGUGUCCUCCUGAUGUUGUACCUCAUACAUUAUUAAACCCGGCCCAUACAUAAACACUACCUAUUCACUGUACACAAAAUGGUCAGAAUAAUACAAUCCAAGUAAUAAUAAAAAAAAAGGACCUAUUUAUUUCCCAUGAGACAUCGGAAGCAAAAUGAGAUGCGUUGCCAAGAUAGUUCAUUUCUACUCCUCAGUGGUCUCUGAAUGUCAUGUUUAUUUUUAGAUUCAAACAUUUGUCUUAUUGCUUAAGAGGAUUAUCAGUAUGUGCCAGUUAGAUACAGGGUGGGCUGUUCUUUUUUUUUUUUUUUUUAAUCAAGUCAAUACAGGCUCUGUAUGUUAGCGAGGUAAGCAUAGCCUGUCCCAUCCCUAGUACUGAAGCAAGGGGUUCUACACAGUUGUACAAAGAGGGGAGCUUUUGGACGAUUAUUCAGAUUUCUCUUCUACUACGGUACUCCCUUUUUUUCUUUCUUUUGUUAGUUAGUAGACUUGUAAUUAAAAAGUAUUAAAUAUAAAUCUUUGUUUACGGUUUACUCAUUAAAUCGGACCAUUUGUCCCAAAUAGAUGGUACAAUAGCUGAAUCCAUAAAGGUUCCACGUUCUGUCAACUGAUUCUGAUAUCAAAAUACUGUUCAGUAAAAUAAAAUUGACAAUAAAGAUUGAUUUCCUUUCAGUUUAAUAACUAAAUUGCUCGUCAUUGACAGAUGGACACAUCUAUGAAAUCGAUAUCCUUGUUUGGUGACACCUGUACCACAAAACGGAAUUUGUGUAGUGCCAGUAUGAAAUUGAAUAAAAAACUAAAAGCAAACAACCAGAUGGUGAUUGAACUAAUACAACGCUGCGUCUUAAAAAUGGGCGACUGACAUGUGUGACACUACCCAACUAUGUGUGAGUUUUGUCGUUUGCGAAUACGUAUUUCAACACACUUUUUUUUAAUAUAGCCACUGUUAGCCAAAAAGAAGACCUCUGGUCUCCUACUUCGUGUUGAACCUACGGACACGUGCUCUUCGCCCAGUCUCUCUCAGCGGCCAUUUUGUUGUGUACAGGGGGAGGCCAUGUCCUCGCUGGCCGAUCCGGAGCCUUCUCUGUCGCUCUCACAGACUUCCUUUGCUUCCCGUUCAACAUCCUUUUGCACCUUCAAUGUCAAAUUAAAUGAAAAAAACAAGUGAGCGAGCGGACAAAUAUAUUUUACAGAAUACAUGACUUAUUACACCCCUUUAUUUAUUUAUUUUCCAUAUUCUGUCUUUAUUUUACGUAUUAAUUUGAAUGCAUUUUUUGUUCUCGAGUACGUUUCGACGAAGGCUGGACAUUUUGGCGUACACUAUAACUAGCUUAAUGCUACAGAUGCUUAAAGUGCAAGGACUGGAUCUCUGGGAACACCUUGGUUACCUUGACGGGCCUGGCCUUUCGGUUCCGGUCUUGGUCCUUGUGACUCCUCUUACGGGACAAAGAGCGCUCCUUCCGCUCCCUGCUGCGCUCCCUCCGCCGCCUUCCCCUCUUCACCCUGCUGGAGUUAGAGGAGAAACGGUCACUGAGAGCCGGCCAUCUUUUCCUUCUCCACAAAAGCCAAUGACGGGAGACAUUCGUCAUCAUACAGCAACAUAAGCUUUUUGUUCCAUAACAGUCUACAGGGAUAUUUGAAAAUGACUAGCAAUGUUAGUUUGAUAAGACUAGAGUUUGAGUUAUAUUAUGUUUACAUAUAUGAAGGGA
ensembl:lncRNA